rnacentral:rRNA from 1 species
UACAGAGGUCUCAAGCGUUGUUCGGAUUCAUUGGGCGUAAAGGGUGCGUAGGCGGCGCGGUAAGUCGGGUGUGAAAUCUCGGGGCUUAACUCCGAAACUGCAUUCGAUACUGCCGUGCUUGAGGACUGGAGAGGAGACUGGAAUUUACGGUGUAGCGGUGAAAUGCGUAGAUAUCGUAAGGGAAGACCAGUGGCGAAGGCGGGUCUCUGGACAGUUCCUGACGCUGAGGCACGAAGGCCAGGGGAGCAAACAGG